ACGAGAGAAUUGCUAGCUUGCUAUAAUUCUCUAGUGGCGCACGGGUGAGUAACACGUGAGUAACCUGCCCCCGAGAGCGGGAUAGCCCUGGGAAACUGGGAUUAAUACCGCAUAGUAUCGAAAGAUUAAAGCAGCAAUGCGCUUGGGGAUGGGCUCGCGGCCUAUUAGUUAGUUGGUGAGGUAACGGCUCACCAAGGCGAUGACGGGUAGCCGGUCUGAGAGGAUGUCCGGCCACACUGGAACUGAGACACGGUCCAGACACCUACGGGUGGCAGCAGUCGAGAAUCAUUCACAAUGGGGGAAACCCUGAUGGUGCGACGCCGCGUGGGGGAAUGAAGGUCUUCGGAUUGUAAACCCCUGUCAUGUGGGAGCAAAUUAAAAAGAUAGUACCACAAGAGGAAGAGACGGCUAACUCUGUGCCAGCAGCCGCGGUAAUACAGAGGUCUCAAGCGUUGUUCGGAAUCACUGGGCGUAAAGCGUGCGUAGGCUGUUUCGUAAGUCGUGUGUGAAAGGCGCGGGCUCAACCCGCGGACGGCACAUGAUACUGCGAGACUAGAGUAAUGGAGGGGGAACCGGAAUUCUCGGUGUAGCAGUGAAAUGCGUAGAUAUCGAGAGGAACACUCGUGGCGAAGGCGGGUUCCUGGACAUUAACUGACGCUGAGGCACGAAGGCCAGGGGAGCGAAAGGGAUUAGAUACCCCUGUAGUCCUGGCAGUAAACGGUGCACGCUUGGUGUGCGGGGAAUCGACCCCCUGCGUGCCGGAGCUAACGCGUUAAGCGUGCCGCCUGGGGAGUACGGUCGCAAGAUUAAAACUCAAAGAAAUUGACGGGGACCCGCACAAGCGGUGGAGUAUGUGGCUUAAUUCGAUGC
rnacentral:rRNA from 1 species